AAAUUAAUAAUCAUCUUAAAGUUACCAACCAAUCCUAGCGCAAGUUGUAAAGGAUUUGACGGUUGGUAUAUGAGAUUUUAAGUUCGAAAUUUAUUUGUUUCGUAUUUUUAACUAAAUUUAUUUUUUUUAAAAAUAAGCGAAACUAGUAGCAUACUAUCUUUCUAGCUAACAAUAAUAGUUGCAUAUGACCAAUCGUCCCUAGAGCAAAUGGUAAAGGGCUUGGUGGUUGGUAUCCGAAACUCAAGUUCGAAUUCUAGUUGAUUCACAUUUUCCAGCUAAGUUUAUUUCUAAAUGAAAUAAAACGAAACAGGUCCUAUCACUCAAAAAAAAUAAUAGUUGCAUAUGGGAGACAACAUAAAAUCUUAUAAACUGUAUAUAAUAU
rnacentral:lncRNA from 1 species